AACGAACGCUGGCGGCAUGCCUAACACAUGCAAGUCGAACGAGACCUUCGGGGCUAGUGGCGCACGGGUGCGUAACGCGUGGGAACCUGCCCUUAGGUUCGGAAUAACUCCCCGAAAGGGGUGCUAAUACCGGAUAAUGUCUUCGGACCAAAGAUUUAUCGCCUUUGGAUGGGCCCGCGUUGGAUUAGCUAGUUGGUAGGGUGAAAGCCUACCAAGGCGACGAUCCAUAGCUGGUCUGAGAGGAUGAUCAGCCACACUGGGACUGAGACACGGCCCAGACUCCUACGGGAGGCAGCAGUGGGGAAUAUUGGACAAUGGGCGAAAGCCUGAUCCAGCCAUGCCGCGUGAGUGAUGAAGGCCUUAGGGUUGUAAAGCUCUUUUACCCGGGAUGAUAAUGACGGUACCGGGAGAAUAAGCUCCGGCUAACUCCGUG
rnacentral:rRNA from 1 species